rnacentral:rRNA from 1 species
AUUGAACGCUGGCGGCAGGCCUAACACAUGCAAGUCGAACGAGUGGCGGACGGAAUACUUAGGACUGGGACACGGCGUGGGGGAGAGGGAUAACUACUGGAAACGGAUGCUAAUACCGCAUACAUUAGGCUGUGCCGAGUUGGGUUUAGCUAGUAGGUGGGGUAACGGCGCACCAGGGCGACGAUCCGUACCUGGUCUGAGAGGAUGACCAGGCACACUGGAACUGAGACACGGUCCAGACGCCUACGGGAGGCAGCAGUGGGGAAUAUUGCACAAUGGGCGAAAGCCUGAUGCAGCCAUGCCGCGUGUGUGAAGAAGGCCUUCGGGUUGUAAAGCACUUUAAGCGGGGAGGCGUUACCCGCAGAAGAAGCACCGGCUAACUCCGUGCCAGCAGCCGCGGUAAUAC